rnacentral:rRNA from 1 species
GAUGAACGCUGGCGGCGUGCCUAAUACAUGCAAGUCGAGCGAACAGACGAGGAGCUUGCUCCUCUGACGUUAGCGGCGGACGGGUGAGUAACAUGUGGAUAACCUACCUAUAAGACUGGGAUAACUUCGGGAAACCGGAGCUAAUACCGGAUAAUAUAUUGAACCGCAUGGUUCAAUAGUGAAGGACGGUUUUGCUGUCACUUAUAGAUGGAUCCGCGCCGCAUUAGCUAGUUGGUAAGGUAACGGCUUACCAAGGCGACGAUGCGUAGCCGACCUGAGAGGGUGAUCGGCCACACUGGAACUGAGACACGGUCCAGACUCCUACGGGAGGCAGCAGUAGGGAAUCUUCCGCGAUGGGCGAAAGCCUGACGGAGCAACGCCGCGUGAGUGAUGAAGGUCUUCGGAUCGUAAAACUCUGUUAUUAGGGAAGAACAAAUGUGUAAGUAACUAUGCACGUCCUGACGGUACCUAAUCAGGAAGCCACGGCUAACUACGUG